AGUGAACGCUGGCGGUAGGCCUAACACAUGCAAGUCGAACGGCAGCACAGUAAGAGCUUGCUCUUACGGGUGGCGAGUGGCGGACGGGUGAGGAAUACAUCGGAAUCUACUUUUUCGUGGGGGAUAACGUAGGGAAACUUACGCUAAUACCGCAUACGACCUACGGGGGAAAGCAGGGGAUCUUCUGACCUUGCGCGAUUGAAUGAGCCGAUGUCGGAUUAGCUAGUUGGCGGGGUAAAGGCCCACCAAGGCGACGAUCCGUAGCUGGUCUGAGAGGAUGGUCAGCCACACUGGAACUGAGACACGGUCCAGACUCCUACGGGAGGCAGCAGUGGGGAAUAUUGGACAAUGGGCGCAAGCCUGAUCCAGCCAUACCGCGUGGGUGAAGAAGGCCUUCGGGUUGUAAAGCCCUUUUGUUGGGAAAGAAAAGCAGCAGGUUAAUACCCCGCUGUUCUGACGGUACCCAAAGAGUAAGCACCGGCUAACUUCGUG
rnacentral:rRNA from 1 species